UACGUAGGUGGCAAGCGUUGUCCGGAAUUAUUGGGCGUAAAGCGCGCGCAGGCGGUCCUUUAAGUCUGAUGUGAAAGCCCACGGCUCAACCGUGGAGGGUCAUUGGAAACUGGGGGACUUGAGUGCAGAAGAGGAAAGCGGAAUUCCACGUGUAGCGGUGAAAUGCGUAGAGAUGUGGAGGAACACCAGUGGCGAAGGCGGCUCACUGGCUCGUAACUGACGCUCAUGCACGACAGCGUGGGGAUCAAACAGG
rnacentral:rRNA from 1 species